GGCGGGCCGGAUGGGGCCGCCCCUCCGCUUCCCUCCGCCGGCUUCCCCGCCGGCUGCAGACCCGGGUCUCGGCCCUCCCCCGGCGCCUUCUCUGUCCUCCUGACCGCCCGGGGCCGGGGCCGGGGCCGGGGCCGGGCGGGAGAGCCCGCCGCCGGGCUGCCGCGAUUCCGCCCUGUCGCGGCUGUGUCCCUGGGCCGGCAGAGCCCCCGCUUCGACCAGGCCGACGGCGACGGGGAGGACGAGGAAGACGUGGACGGAGACCCGGGGGGAGCGGGGUGGCAGGGCUGCGCCAGUGCUGAGGCUGAAUCAGAAGAUAACCAAGAAGAACAGAAACAGGUGCGCUCCCCGGAAAGCAGCCUGACACCGUGGGAGGUGUGGUUUGUUGGCAAAGAAAAAAAAGAACGUGACCGGCUGCAGCAAAAAGCUCUGAAGGAAUUAAAUUCACAACUCGAAAAAAUAAAAAAAAACAAAAACGGAAGAACAUGAAAAAAGAAAGAUAAUUGCUGAAGAAAAGCACAAGGAAUGGGUUCAGAAAAAGAACAAACAGAAAAGAAAAGAAAAGGAACAAAAAAUUAAUAAAGAACUGGAGUAAAAAGCAACAAAGGAGCUGGAGAAAGAACAUUUGCAAGAAAAAGCAAAAGAAAAAUAUCAAGAAUAGUUAAAGAAAAAAAUGCUGAAGAAUAUGAGAAGAAGAAGAAAGAAAAGAAACAACGGCAAGCUGAAUUACAGGAGAAAAAGGAAAUCGCAGAAAAAAAGUUUAAGGAAGAGUUGGAAGAUGCAAAAAAUAAACCUCAUCCAGCUGCAAAGAGCUAUGGUUAUGCUAAUGCAAAGCUUACAGGUUUUCACAGUGGAAAUGCCUAUCCAGAGCCAGCCUUUUAUAACCCAAUUCCAUGGAAACCAAUUCACAUGCCCCCUCCCAGAGAAGCUAAGGACCCCUCGUGGAGAAAGAGGCCUGUGAAAAGGCCUGUGAAAAGCCAGCCACACCAGCCCUCCUCUCUGACCAUCCACAAAGCCAGAAGCAACCUUUGCCUGGGAGCUCUGCACAGAAUACAGAGAUAG